ACUCCUACGGGAGGCAGCAGUGGGGAAUAUUGGACAAUGGGGGAACCCGUGAUCCAGCCAUGCCGCGUGUGUGAAGAAGGCCUUAUGGUUGUAAAGCACUUUAAAGCGAGGAGGAGGCUACUGAGACUAAUACUCUUGGAUAGUGGACGUUACUCGCAGAAUAAGCACCGGCUAACUCUGUGCCAGCAGCCGCGGUAAUACAGAGGGUGCGAGCGUUAAUCGGAUUUACUGGGCGUAAAGCGUGCGUAGGCGGUCUUUUAAGUCGGAUGUGAAAUCCCCGAGCUUAACUUGGGAAUUGCAUUCGAUACUGGGGAAGCUAGAGUAUGGGAGAGGAUGGUAGAAUUCCAGGUGUAGCGGUGAAAUGCGUAGAGAUCUGGAGGAAUACCGAUGGCGAAGGCAGCCAUCUGGCCUAAUACUGACGCUGAGGUACGAAAGCAUGGGAGCAAACAGGAUUAGAUACCCCUGGUAGCGACUGA
rnacentral:rRNA from 1 species